CAGGUUAUUUCCAGGUAGCAAUACCUUCAUUUUGCAUCCCUGCUCUAGAUAAACAGUUCUCACAAACUAUUGUCCAAGGCCAACUGCUGUACAUAACCUAUGUGACCCUACCCUGGGCAUUGCAAAGGUCAGCCUAUAUGUGGGGCUGAAUUGGCAGUUCUCAUAUUUCAAUGCAAUUUCUGGUCAAUCCCCUUUAUCAGAAAGUAAAGGCAGGUUCAUUUUAUUCUAAUUGGGAUAGGGGUGGCAUUUAUCCCUAUUUUGGGCGCCAUAUCAACUACACAUUGCAUCCCACUGGUCCUGUAAUGUGGCUAGAAUACUUUGCUGAUCUUGUGUUAGAAAUGUUGAAUUCCAUGUUGCCUACUAGCUAUAGAUUGCUCCUGUCAUAUACAUAUUAGCACAUGCUUCUCAAAAUAGCCUGGAAUGUGAUUGGAAGUGGGACCUGUUACACUGCCUUUGGAGCUUCCGUUAGCUAACCUGAUCUAAGCCCUUUAGUACAUAGCGUAUCAACUGAGAUUGUCAGUUGAACACUUUUAGCCAAUGAACAAAGCCCAUCACUGCCAUUUUAUGUAACUGCCUGUUUGUUUCAUUUUUUUUUUCUUUUAAACCAUUUGCAAGCAGUUUGACAAAAAAAGUGAAAAAUGAAAUGUUAAACCACACUUAAAGGAGCACUAUAGUCACCUAAAUUACUUUAGCUAAAUAAAGCAGUUUUAGUGUAUAGAUCAUUCCCCUGCAAUUUCACUGCUCAAUUCACUGUCAUUUAGGAGUUAAAUCACUUUGUUUCUGUUUAUGCAGCCCUAGCCACACCUCCCC